rnacentral:rRNA from 1 species
UCGGGAAUAUUGCGCAAUGGAGGAAACUCUGACGCAGUGACGCCGCGUGCAGGAAGAAGGUUUUCGGAUUGUAAACUGCUUUAGACAGGGAAGAAUAAAGACAGUACCUGUAGAAUAAGCUCCGGCUAACUACGUGCCAGCAGCCGCGGUAAUACGUAGGGAGCAAGCGUUAUCCGGAUUUAUUGGGUGUAAAGGGUGCGUAGACGGGAAAUUAAGUUAGUUGUGAAAUCCCUCGGCUUAACUGAGGAACUGCAACUAAAACUGGUUUCUUGAGUGCUGGAGAGGAAAGUGGAAUUCCUAGUGUAGCGGUGAAU